rnacentral:lncRNA from 1 species
AAACUCAACACCUUCUAGCCCCCUAUAUGCCUCCCGAGUUACCUUGAGUAGCAUGUCAUAGUCCCCACUAGCACAAAUGUCAUCAAUUCUAUAAGUGAGAACCACUUCAAUCAUGAGGGAGACUAGCUACGAAACCAGAGGUCACCAUGGAGGCCAUUGUUCUUAAAGGAGAACCAUACCAUGCCUCCAAGAACCUCAAGGCAAAGGUAGGCAAUUGUGGCAAGAGGAGGUGCAAUCUUGGUCCAUAUCUCCAGGGCCAUCUGAAGCACCCAAGCAAUAAACAAGAUGGAGAGGUCCUGCUCUAUGGACCUAAAACAUGGAGCCCUUGCUGAUAAGGUAAAAUAGUAUUUAUCCCAUCUUUACUCAUUGCAUUUCAAUUCUUGCAUUUCCCUUCCAAUUGCAUGCUUAGUUUAGUUUUGCAUAUUUCCCUUCAACAAAAUGCUUAGGAAUAAUAAAUAAAAUUCUUGAGAACAACUUGCAAUAAAGUUUCGACCUGUGGAUCACCUAGAGGUGGGGUCGGUCGACCCCACCAUUGGACCCACUUGUAGUCUUUCAAUUUGGCUUGAUGCAAUGCGUCGAGGUCAGCACUUGGAUGCUCCUAGAGCUUUCAUGUUGGGGUCGGUCGACCCCAAGACUUGCCCUUUUGGCAGUCUGCUAUCUCCCAUUUGCUUUGCUUUAGAAACCCAUGCAUGACACACAAGCCAAAAUCUGAAAGGAAAUGGUCUGUUUGGGACCUGUGCACCAGCUUAAACUUGCAAAGUAGUCUCCUAGACAUGCUCUAGUGUUGUCAUGAUCACUGACAACCACUUUAAGCAAAUCUCCACUUUUGCAAAUCAUCUUUUCUCUUUCACAUAGCACUAGGCAAGGGAAUCUUAUAAAAGAACUUUACUUCUUGUCCAUGCCUAGGCUUUACAUUAGUAGACACUUAAUGCCACAUCAUUUAGAGUGCUAAAGUGCUUAGGGUAGGGGUUGGCCGACCCGUACAUUGGCCAAUCUCUAGAAAAGAGUUCAUAUAUGUUGCAAGAUUCCCUUCCAUGAUUCAAAAUUUUGAAACAUAGUGCUUAUGGGGAGGUCGGCCGACCCCCACAUUGGGAUGUUCACCACUUGCCCUUCUUCCCCUAUAAAUACCCAUGCAUUCUGAGCUCAACUCCACACCCAAAUUAUCUCCAGCUCACAAUCCCUCUUCUCUCUUCUUAGUUGCAAGUUAUUCUCAAGAUUAUAAUAGUUGUCCUUAAAAAAACAAAAAAAAAAUAUUUAGUCUUGUGUUGGGUAUUUUAAACGCAAACAGAAAAAUCCGCAAGCGCACGGAUACCGAUGUAGCUUUCACCCGGGAGUAUUCCAUGUAACACCCUAGUGUUAUGGUUGCAUAAAUCACAUGCAUAACAUGAGCGUCAUCAUCUACUCAAUCACAUCAUGAUCAUCAUCUACCUUGAGCCAUGUCAUUUUAUGCUUAAGUGUGCUUUAAUUUGUUUAAUCAUGCUUCCUAUGCUUGUGUUUGUGUGAACCAUGCUCAUGCUUGGGUGCUAUGCCUUGCUAAAUAGUUUAUCUAUGCCUAACUCAACCUUAGGAACAAUGUUCACGUUGAUCACUUCUCCAAAAUAAUCACUUAAGUCAUACUUACAUGUAUAGGCCCUAGAAACCUCUUUUGCUUAGGUUUUUAAAAAAUGUUUCAUAAAAUGUUUGCAUGUCAAAACUUUCUACAGCAAAGUUGUAAAAAUUUUAUAAGGAACAAAAGUUGUUUUAUGGCCAUCUCAUGAAAAUGAUCACAUCUAGCUCUAAAGUGACCCAAAAAGCAGAUUUGGGGCUGUUUCCAACACUUAGAAAAAUUUUAAGUCUGGGGACGCUGCAGUUUGCUUGAUCGAUUUUGAAAACUUCAUAUGUUUCAAACCAGGCCGAUCUACCUCUUGCUCCAGUUGCCAAUGUUGUAGAACUCAGCUAGUACUCCAACUUCGUCAACUACAUCAUCUCCUAAUUCGUUUUGGUUUGGGAGAUAAUCUUUGUCAAAGUAGCUCUGUCAGUCGGUCAUCGUUUUGUCUGAAUCAGAACCGAGCUCGUCGACGUGGCCGACCGGCGGCAGAGCAACAGCGACAUUGGCAUCCGUACGUCGUUUCUGGCCCCGCUCAUCAGCUCCAGAUGCCGC